AUUGAACGCUGGCGGCAGGCCUAACACAUGCAAGUCGAGCGGAUGAAGGGAGCUUGCUCCUGGAUUCAGCGGCGGACGGGUGAGUAAUGCCUAGGAAUCUGCCUGGUAGUGGGGGAUAACGUCCGGAAACGGGCGCUAAUACCGCAUACGUCCUGAGGGAGAAAGUGGGGGAUCUUCGGACCCCACGCUAUCAGAUGAGCCUAGGUCGGAUUAGCUAGUUGGUGGGGUAAAGGCCUACCAAGGCGACGAUCCGUAACUGGUCUGAGAGGAUGAUCAGUCACACUGGAACUGAGACACGGUCCAGACUCCUACGGGAGGCAGCAGUGGGGAAUAUUGGACAAUGGGCGAAAGCCUGAUCCAGCCAUGCCGCGUGUGUGAAGAAGGUCUUCGGAUUGUAAAGCACUUUAAGUUGGGAGGAAGGGCAGUAAGUUAAUACCUUGCUGUUUUGACGUUACCAACAGAGUAAGCACCGGCUAACUUCGUG
rnacentral:rRNA from 1 species